rnacentral:rRNA from 1 species
UCCAGACUCCUACGGGAGGCAGCAGUGGGGGAUAUUGCACAAUGGGGGGAACCCUGAUGCAGCGACGCCGCGUGGGUGAAGGAGCGUUUCGGCGCGUAAAGCCCUCUCGGCAGGGAAGAAGGAGGACGGUACCUGACUAAGAAGCCCCGGCUAACUACGUGCCAGCAGCCGCGGUAAUACGUAGGGGGCAAGCGUUAUCCGGAUUUACUGGGUGUAAAGGGGGCGCAGACGGCAGCGCAAGCCAGGAGUGAAAGCCCGGGGCCCAACCCCGGGACUGCUCUUGGAACUGCGCGGCUGGAGUGCAGGAGGGGCAGGCGGAAUUCCUGGUGUAGCGGUGAAAUGCGUAGAUAUCAGGAGGAACACCGGUGGCGAAGGCGGCCUGCUGGACUGCGACUGACGUUGAGGCCCGAAAGCGUGGGGAGCAAACAGGAUUAGAUACCCUAGUACGC